rnacentral:tRNA from 2 species
GGAGAGGUGUCUGAGCGGUUGAAAGAGCCCGCCUCGAAAGCGGGUAGGCUGGCUAAAACCGGCCUCGUGGGUUCGAAUCCCACCCUCUCCGCCA